rnacentral:tRNA from 1 species
GCUGGGGUAGUGAAGCGGUCAAACACAACAGACUGUAAAUCUGUCGGCAUUCGCCUUCGUAAGUUCGAAUCUUACCCCCAGUACCA